rnacentral:rRNA from 1 species
GGGGGGACGGAGAAGGCUAGGUGGGCCUGGCGACGGUUGUCCAGGUUCAAGUGCGUAGGCUUAAGAGUUAGGUAAAUCCGGCUCUUUUUAAGGCUGAGACACGACGUCGAGCACCUACGGGUGUGAAGUCAUUGAUGCCAUGCUUCCAGGAAAAGCCUCUAAGCUUCAGAUUGUAAGGAAUCGUACCCCAAACCGACACAGGUGGUCGGGUAGAGAAUACCAAGGCGCUUGAGAGAACUCGGGUGAAGGAACUAGGCAAAAUGGUACCGUAACUUCGGGAGAAGGUACGCUCUCGACGGUGAAGUCCCUCGCGGAUGGAGCUAUUGAGAGUCGCAGAUACCAGGUGGCUGCAACUGUUUAUUAAAAACACAGCACUGUGCAAAAUCGUAAGAUGACGUAUACGGUGUGACGCCUGCCCGGUGCCGGAAGGUUAAUUGAUGGGGUUAGACUUC